rnacentral:lncRNA from 1 species
CGCAGCUGUCUGUUAGAGAUGGAACAGAAAGAUAAUCGAAGGGAAAACAUUCACUGCUGUUCCAAUGACCAAAGAAAUAGGGACUCUUCAGGGUUAAGGUGACUCAUCUGAGUGCCUCCUACUCCGCCUGGGAAGUAGCUGAGCUCUGCCAUUCGCCUCUCCUGGCCAUUUACCAUCCCUUCCCACCCUGCCCACCAUUGCCCGGUAGCUUUUACCUGGGUCCACCUAUCUAGAUGACAGAGGUAUCUGGAGAAACGGCUGAAGGAUUCAGACCCAUCUUUGGAAAAGAGACAAGGUUCCAUCUUCCUGACAUAUACUGCCAUCAGGAUACCCUGACCCUGACCCUGACCCUGAG